CACGUAGGGGGCGAGCGUUGUCCGGAAUUACUGGGCGUAAAGGGCGCGCAGGCUGUUAUGCGAGUCUGCUGUGAAAUGUACCGGCUCAACUGGGAGAGGCCGUUCUAAACUGCAGAGCUAGAGGAUGGUAGAGGGAGGUGGAAUUCCAGGUGUAGCGGUGGAAUGCGCAGAUAUCUGGAGGAACACCAGUGGCGAAGGCGGCCUCCUGGACCAUUCCUGACACUCAGACGCGAAAGCUAGGGCAGCAAACGGGAUUA
rnacentral:rRNA from 1 species